rnacentral:rRNA from 1 species
CCUCGGGAGGCAGCAGUGGGGAAUAUUGGACAAUGGGCGAAAGCCUGAUCCAGCCAUGCCGCGUGUGUGAAGAAGGCCUUCGGGUUGUAAAGCACUUUCAGUGGGGAAGAAAGCCUUGGGGCUAAUACCCUCGAGGAAGGACAUCACCCACAGAAGAAGCACCGGCUAACUCCGUGCCAGCAGCCGCGGUAAUACGGAGGGUGCGAGCGUUAAUCGGAAUUACUGGGCGUAAAGCGCGCGUAGGCGGUCUGAUAAGCCGGUUGUGAAAGCCCCGGGCUCAACCUGGGAACGGCAUCCGGAACUGUCAGGCUAGAGUGCAGGAGAGGAAGGUAGAAUUCCCGGUGUAGCGGUGAAAUGCGUAGAGAUCGGGAGGAAUACCAGUGGCGAAGGCGGCCUUCUGGACUGACACUGACGCUGAGGUGCGAAAGCGUGGGUAGCAAACAGGAUUAGAUACCCGGGUAGUC